UUUCUCUGUUCUCUGCCAUAUUUUUCAGCAGUCCAUAGAAAGUGAGUGCUGUGUGUCGUUGUCAGAGCCUGCCAGGCUCCGUAUCGUGCUCCAGCAGCUGCACUCAUCCAGCCACCCUCCGUCUCCCACAUGAGUGAGAAGUCUCGUGAUUGCUCAUCGUGUGGGAUGCCGUGUUCUGCUGCUGCAGUGUGAACCACCAACACCCCUUCACUUGGUGUUAUUGCUCAGUGUGGUCUGAGAAAGGAUAACUGGUCUGCUCAAAAAGUGGGAAGCAGCAGAGAGUAACAACAUAUUCCAGUAGCUCUCUCACUAAAUCUUUUGCAAGACUGAAUGUACAGUUCUAGGGAAAGCUUCUAGGAGGUAUGUAUAUAGUUGCAAUUAUUGUCUUUUAAAGAAUAUAUGCGA
rnacentral:lncRNA from 1 species